AAAAGUAAGACCAAAGAAAAAGGCAAUAAAAUGCAUCUGUUUCCUAAGAAUAUAUAUUUUUGUAAAGAAUGGUUAGCAAACUGAAAUCAAUAAGAUCUUCUUGAAAAAACUUUUAGGAAAUAUUGUGUCAGCAAACAUUUUACUUCCAAAAUGUAUGCUAAUCCUGAAGAUCCAACUACAAAUAAUGAAGACAAUGAAUUGGAUAAAAGUACUGAAAUAAUUAUAACUAGUUAAAAUUAUGUUAUUCUUGAAAAACCUGUUAGUUCAAGCACACCAAUGAAAUCGAACUCUCCAAUAUCAGAAACUUGUGUAAUGUCGUCCAACAGAAAAAUUUCAGUAAAAGGAGUCAAACAUCAUCUUCUACUUCAAUGUGAGCUCAAACAACUCAGCUGCUAUAAUAAUUUAAGAACCCCCGUUUGUGAACUGGAGAGAAAAU